rnacentral:rRNA from 1 species
UCCGUAGGCGGUGUGGCAAGUCGGAAGUGAAAUCUCUGGGCUUAACCCAGAGGCUGCUCCCGAAACUGCCGUGCUAGAGGAUGAGAGAGGCAAGUGGAAUUGCGGGUGUAGCGGUGAAAUGCGUAGAUAUCCGCAGGAACAUCCGAGGCGAAAGCGGCUUGCUGGAUCAUUUCUGACGCUGAGGGACGAAAGCUAGGGGAGCAAACAGGAUUAGAUACCCUGGUAGUCCUAGCCCUAAACCAUCAGGACUUGGGGUUUGCCCUGUACGGGGCAAGUCCCGUAGCUAACGCGUUAAGUCCUGCGCCUGGGGAGUACGGUCGCAAGGCUGAA